CAAAUCUUGGCUUAAUCCCAACUUCUAGCUGCAUCUGUCUGGUUUGACAAUAUAACUGCAACUAUACCAAUAUCUGCCAAUGAUCUUCGCUUCUCCCUCACCAUAUAACAUGGCCUCUCCCAAAAUUUAAGGUGAAGCUUUAGGAUUAAUAGUUCCUACCAAGACAUCGAGUGCCAUAAGUAAAGGUGUCUAAGCUAAACAUCCGGGGGAAAUCAAAAUGCAUUGCAAAUGACUGUUCUCAAGCUGUAUCCUAACACAACGGUACAUUUCGCAAAUAUCUUCUGUGAUUGCUACUGGCUGUAAACGAAACCGAAGUAGAAUUACAGGGUCUGCCGUAAGAACAUCGUUGAGAGAAUAGCUUGUAGACAUGGCCGCCGAUCCAUCAAAAACUACGAGAAGCAUUAUACUGGACCUUUCUUCUUUUAUGACGCAAUGAUGAGACAAGAAAUUUCGGCACGACCCUAUAUCAUAUAAUGAGAUAUGUCCUAAGUCAAGGGAGAAGAAUCCGCAAUAAGCUUCCUGGUAGGAGUCUUCCAAGACAUCUAGAUUGAGCUUGGCAGGCGGCCGAACACAAUAAUCACCAGCUGACAAACGAACCACGUGUCUUACGAGAUGUGCUUCAUAGUCCAAUUCUUCCUUAGUAGCGCGUAUAACUGGCUCGGCGCGGCUUUUCACAUAUAACAGGUAAAAAGAAGCGUUUCCGACUCCAUAAAAUAUAUAUAUAGUAUAUUCUUGAUCAGGAUAAGGGCUAGAAAAUACUUGGCAUGCAGAUUCCUGGGUGCCACGCCCACUCUUGCGCCCACAAUGUGCGAAAACCAGUAGCGCCUACAGUUUUUAUGAUAGAAACGAAAUUCUAACUGAAAUCUAUUUGUUUCAUCAAUAACUAUCGAAUCAC